UGAGACAGGUGCUGCAUGGCUGUCGUCAGCUCGUGUUGUGAAAUGUUGGGUUAAGUCCCGCAACGAGCGCAACCCCUUAUCCUUUGUUGCCAGCGAGUAAUGUCGGGAACUCAAAGGAGACUGCCGGUGAUAAACCGGAGGAAGGUGGGAUGACGUCAAGUCAUCAUGGCCCUUACGAGUAGGGCUACACACGUGCUACAAUGGCAUAUACAAAGAGAAGCGAACUCGCGAGAGCAAGACGGACCUCAUAAAGUAUGUCGUAGUCCGGAUUGGAGUCUGCAACUCGACUCCAUGAAGUCGGAAUCGCUAGUAAUCGUAGAUCAGAAUGCCUACGGUGAAUACGUUCCCGGGCCCUU
rnacentral:rRNA from 1 species